rnacentral:lncRNA from 1 species
GCUGAAGAUAUUUAUAAAACUCGAAUAUCCUCAUGUUUUAUGCAUUUUGAUGGCGUUACGGAGCAACUUUGCAAAGUUACACGCCAAAGGCUUAAGAAAUUUCUUGAGUGUAGGUCAAAAUGGGCCAAACUUAAAUGUCAACAAGCUGAAAUAGCUAAGAAAUCGUACGAGAACAUCCAUGACGGGUCUGUCAAUUCAUACAUGGAGAAGAACCCGGACAGCAUUAACUUAGAAUGGUACCAUCAUAUGAAAUGCUGGAAGAGAUUUUGUGAUGAAGAGAAGAUCCGUAGACAACAGAGAAAAGAAGAAAAAGGAGAAGGAACUAGCUCUAAAACUGUAACUUCUACCGAAGAAUCACACGUGGAAGUGGAGCCAAUAGAACCAAGGCGAAAAAUUACACGUCAAUCAGUCGCAGAAGCUAUAAAUAAGGCCCUGCCUAAACGAAACGCGCAUGUACUCCCAGAGAUAUGUAUUAUUUGUGGAAGAGACGCCACUAGA